rnacentral:misc_RNA from 1 species
AACGCACAUUGCACCCUCUGGUAUUCCUGGGGGUAUGCCUGUCCGAGCGUCAUUACAACCCUCAAGCUCUGCUUGGUGUUGGGCGUCGCCCCGACCUUGUGUCGGGGCGUGCCUAAAAGCCAUUGGUAGUUGUCUGGAUCCCGAGCAAAGCAUCUCACUCUGCCCGGAAUCUAGCGUGCCAACUUGCCCCACCCAGGUUGACCUCGGAUCAGGUAGGGACACCCGCUGAACUUAA